GACGAACGCUGGCGGCGUGCUUAACACAUGCAAGUCGAACGGAAAGGCCCUGCUUUUGUGGGGUGCUCGAGUGGCGAACGGGUGAGUAACACGUGAGUAACCUGCCCUUGACUUUGGGAUAACUCCAGGAAACUGGGGCUAAUACCGGAUAGGAGCUCCUGCUGCAUGGUGGGGGUUGGAAAGUUUCGGCGGUUGGGGAUGGACUCGCGGCUUAUCAGCUUGUUGGUGGGGUAGUGGCUUACCAAGGCUUUGACGGGUAGCCGGCCUGAGAGGGUGACCGGCCACAUUGGGACUGAGAUACGGCCCAGACUCCUACGGGAGGCAGCAGUGGGGAAUAUUGCGCAAUGGGCGGAAGCCUGAUGCAGCGACGCCGCGUGCGGGAUGACGGCCUUCGGGUUGUAAACCGCUUUCGCCUGUGACGAAGCGUGAGUGACGGUAAUGGGUAAAGAAGCACCGGCUAACUACGUG
rnacentral:rRNA from 1 species